AGUCCUGCCCUGAAACCCAUGGAGAUAAUGCUGCAAAUGAGGCUGGCCCAAUUGCUGGCGUUUCUAUAAUGGCGCAGACCUUGGACCACUCUGAGACCACUUUGUGAAUAGAUGUGAUGAUUCCUCCCUCGUAAAUUUUGCCUUUAAAAGGUGAUAAAUGUUCUGGAAAGUAUCCCCAGGCCAUUACAACUGGAUGAAGAUGAAGGUUCCUGCCAAUAUUUGGAUUCACCAAACCACUGGAGAUCAUUAAAGGAGGUGUCAGGAGAGAACCGCAUGCCGAUAGUGUUACUCUAGCCUCCACCUGCAGCUUUUUAGUGAUGUUUGUAUUUGAAGCUCUCGCAACCACUCCCAAGCAUUUUUUCCUACUUCCAAUGUUACCAUCCUCCAAUAUGAAUUUAUCAGCUUUGCAUCCUGUUAGGAUCACAGCACCGCAGACAACAGCGUCAACCAGCCAGGUGGAAUCAGUCCCUUUCUUUUCUCCUGUUCUACAGCCGUAGCAGCAAGAACCACAAUAAUGAUCUCCAGAGGAAUUCCUUGGAACUGAAUCAAUUUUAAAGCCAAGAUUCUCACACCCUUUCCGAAGAACUUGAUUCUGAAAUCCUUCUUUGGAACAGUUAUCUGUAACACCAAUCCUCUUACACACAGCAUCCAUUGCAUUUUGAUAGUAAGAGCUUCCAAAAAGUGGAAUCUUAUGAUCCACACGCCAGUCUCUGAGAACAGAAUCUGGUGUCCUUAUGCAGGCAGACCAGUUUACAGCGGAGCC
rnacentral:misc_RNA from 1 species